ACUCCUACGGGAGGCAGCAGUGAGGAAUAUUGCGCAAUGGGCGAAAGCCUGACGCAGCGACGCCGCGUGGGGGAUGAAGGUUUUCGGAUUGUAAACCCCUUUUGUGAGGAAAGAUAAGGCAGGUAACUGCCUAGACGGUACCUCAAGAAAAAGCCACGGCUAACUUCGUGCCAGCAGCCGCGGUAAUACGAAGGUGGCGAGCGUUGUUCGGAUUUACUGGGCGUAAAGAGCACGUAGGCGGUUGGGUAAGCCUCCUGGGAAAUCUCCCGGCUUAACCGGGAAAGUUCGGGGGGAACUACUCAGCUAGAGGGCGGGAGAGGAGCGCGGAAUUCCCG
rnacentral:rRNA from 1 species